rnacentral:rRNA from 1 species
GAUGAACGCUGGCGGCGUGCCUAAUACAUGCAAGUCGAGCGAACGGACGAGAAGCUUGCUUCUCUGAUGUUAGCGGCGGACGGGUGAGUAACACGUGGAUAACCUACCUAUAAGACUGGGAUAACUUCGGGAAACCGUAGCUAAUACCGGAUAAUAUUUUGAACCGCAUGGUUCAAAAGUGAAAGACGGUCUUGCUGUCACUUAUAGAUGGAUCCGCGUUGCAUUAGCUAGUUGGUAAGGUAACGGCUUACCAAGGCAACGAUGCAUAGCCGACCUGGGAGGGUGAUCGGCCACACUGGAACUGAGACACGGUCCAGACUCCUACGGGAGGCAGCAGUAGGGAAUCUUCCGCAAUGGGCGAAAGCCUGACGGAGCAACGCCGCGUGAGUGAUGAAGGUCUUCGGAUCGUAAAACUCUGUUAUUAGGGAAGAACAUAUGUGUAAGUAACUGUGCACAUCUUGACGGUACCUAAUCAGAAAGCCACGGCUAACUACGUG